rnacentral:snoRNA from 1 species
AAACUAUAGUGUGGAUAGCUCCUUAGUAAAUCCUUAAAAUGUUCCCAACAAUCAUAUAGAGUCUCAUUCUCUUGUUGAAGAAAUCUUGCUAUAUCAUUCCUCAACUU